rnacentral:rRNA from 1 species
UAUUGCACAAUGGGGGAAACCCUGAUGCAGCGACGCCGCGUGAAGGAAGAAGGCUUUCGGGUUGUAAACUUCUUUUGUCAGGGACGAAGCAAGUGACGGUACCUGACGAAUAAGCCACGGCUAACUACGUGCCAGCAGCCGCGGUAAUACGUAGGUGGCAAGCGUUAUCCGGAUUUACUGGGUGUAAAGGGCGUGUAGGCGGGGAAGCAAGUCAGAUGUGAAAACCACGGGCUCAACCUGUGGCCUGCAUUUGAAACUGUUUUUCUUGAGUGCUGGAGAGGCAAUCGGAAUUCCGUGUGUAGCGGUGAAAUGCGUAGAUAUACGGAGGAACACCAGUGGCGAAGGCGGAUUGCUGGACAGUAACUGACGCUGAGGCGCGAAAGCGUGGGGAGCAAACAG